rnacentral:rRNA from 1 species
UACAGAGGGUGCAAGCGUUGCUCGGAUUUACUGGGCGUAAAGCGUACGCAGGCGGCUUGGGAGGUCGGAUGUGAAAGCCCCGGGCUCAACCCGGGAAUUGCAUCCGAAACCUCCUCGCUCGAGUAUGGGAGAGGGAAGUGGAAUUUCCGGUGUAGCGGUGAAAUGCGUAGAUAUCGGAAGGAACAUCAGUGGCGAAGGCGACUUCCUGGACCAAUACUGACGCUCAGGUGCGAAAGCGUGGGGAGCAAACAGG